ensembl:lncRNA
AAACCAAAAGACUAAUAGCUGAUAAAUUUCUCAAAGGAGAGAUAAACGUGCCAGUUCUUUACUUACUGCUGGUCUGGGCCAGGUCCUUGCAUGCACGAUUUUGUCCAGUUUAAUGCUUACAGCAACCUUCCAUCCCCACUCAGUAAACAAAUAGCAAAAACGGAAGCUCAGAGAGUUUACUGUCUGGUCAGAGACAUUAAAUGUCAUGGUGGAGACAAAAUUUGAAAUCAGAUAUUAUUAUAUCAAGUCCCAUGCUCUUUCUACCAUACAGCACACACCUGCAAGUAAAUAAGCACAUAUUCAGGCAUUCAGGAAAAGCAUAUUCUGCAUCUUCAGGGUGUGUGUGUGAACAUGUGUGUUUGCCAGCCAUCGUUGGAGAUUUUCCGUUGAACCGUUGUAUAAAUGGGGGUGGUUUGCUCAGGAGCAGCCCUGCCAGAGUCACAGGAAAUCCCGCCUGAGGUGUCAGCAGAGAAGACACCAAACAUACAUCCAGAGAAGCCCGGACCAGUUUGGUUUGCUAAGACAGAGGCUGCUCGGCCAAGGGGAGAACACAUGCUCCAGCUGUUGUCUGCAACUGGUUUUCAGCUGGAAUGUUGUUAAAUGAAAUGAUCUGCCCUCUAAACAUGUGUGUUUUCAAUUAAUCUCCUUUCCAAGCAGAACAUGUCAUCUCCAAGGGAUGAUAAAUCACAGGGAAAUCCAAAGAGAGGUGUUGCUGUGGCCCCUCUCUGCCACUCUCAGGGGCUGUCACGCAGGGAGGCUGGACUCUGACGGUGCCCCCUGGUUGGGUCAGUGCUGUGGUGACAGGACAAUGGCCAGAGCUGCCCUCUGUGGCAGGUAACAAGCCUCCUGCUCAUAGGGAGACAAAGUUCCUGGGAGCUUGAGGACAGGUGUGCAGCCUUGCUUGCUGUCUACCCUGGUUCUCAGAGCACUUUCCAAAGAGCUUCCAUGGUGACGUCAUCAGGUCCCAAGUGGGGAAACGGAGGUAAGCUGUAACCCAGCACCUGGCCCGAGAGCAGCCUCUGGCUCUUGAGGUUAUGGCUAAUCCUCCCCACAGCCUGGACACUGCUGUGCCGCUCCGUCUUACGCAGGAGGAGACCAGCGCGGCAGGACCUGGUUACCUGCCCAAGGUCAUACAAGCUGAAAGUGGCCAAGCCAAGAUUUGAACCAGGUUUAUCUGGGUCCAAAGCCAUUGCUUCUGGGAGCCGAGUGAGAGAGCCGGGUCUGUGAUGCUGUGGUGAGUUCACUUGCAAUAUAAUCAUAUUCUGUGGAUGUGUGGGUUUUGCGUGUGUGUGUGUGUGGUAUGUUGUGUGGUGUGUGUGUGUGUAUAUUUAUGGUAUGUACAUGUUAUGUGUGGCAUGAUGUGGAUGUGUUGUGUGGCAUGUGUGUUGUAUGUGGGGUGUGUAUAUGGUGUGGGGUAUAUGUGUAUGUAUGCAUGGUGUGGGCAGGUUAUGUGUAUGGUGUGUAUGUAUGUGUGGUGUAUGGUAUGGUGUUGUGUGGUGGGUGUGGGUGUGUGUGGGUGUGGGGUGGUGUGGGUGUGUGUUGUGGGUGUGGUGUGGUCUGCGCUCCUGGUGGGAGAUAGUGCCAGUCUAACCAGAGAGCAGUAAGGGGGGCUUGGGGACCAGCACCCAUGGGUGCUGACCAUCAACCAUCCAAAUCUCCCCUGGAGCUGGUCGCCCAGAACUCAGUGCCAAGAGACACUGGUUGGUGGCACCCAGAAACCAGAGGUAACACCCUCACCCCAGGCGGCACCCCCACCCCAGCGAGCAAACCCAUGAUAUAAAAUCGAGUGUGCAUGUGCCUCUGGCAGAAACGGGCCGACCGCAGCCUCUGAGCUGGGCGUGGUGGGUGUUGGCAGCCCAGCAGCGGUGAGCAGUGGUGACAGGAUGACUCGUUUCCCUGGCAACAUAGUGGAGACCGUUCCACAAAUACCAGCCAGUGGGCACCACAGCGGGGCUGUCAGGAGGACUGAGGUCUAAGAUCCCAGUCUGCCCAGCUGCCGCCGGAAGCCCACCUCCUUGGAGCUCCUAGGGCCUGGCCUCCUGCUCAGGCGACGUCCUCUGUCCACUUGGUGCUGUAUCUACUUAUUCUUUCAUUCAGCAAAUCCCUUACACCCCUGUACACAGCUUUGUGCACCUUUGUGCACUCUGCCAGGCCUGUCCUUUCUCCUCCAGCUUGUGAACUCCUCCAACCUUAACAUCCACUUCGAAUAUCCCCUUGUACAGUCACAUGGUCAUGCCGAGGGAAGCUUAGGGCAAUCGAUGGAAACGAUAAGCUUUCUCCAAAAGGCUUCAAGAGAAAUGAGCGCCCAUGUGCACCUGUUCUCAUCCGGUUCAUUCAGACCAAACCAGGGCUCAUCACUGUGACAUUUAGAAUACUGUGGACCCACAGAAGAUCCUACAAGCUUCCAAAAGCGAGGAACGAGAAUGAAUUUGACUUCUUACAGCAACUCUAGAAGCUGGAAGACAGGAGAGCAACAGCUACAAACUCCAAGGUACAGUGAUUUACGACUUAGAAUCCCAUAGAGAAACUUCGGCAAAUGAGAGGUUAGAACAAGGAUGUUUCCAGAUAUGCAAGGACUCAAAAUACUUAGCUGGAAUGACUCCCUUCUCAGAAACCUCUACGAAUGUGCUCCCUUAGAAGGAGGGAGUAAUCCAAGAAAGAAGAGGCCAGCAGACCCAGGAAACAGACAACCCGACACGGAAGAGCAGCAGAGGAAAGUUUCCAGAAGAGGUGAAGACAGACGCCGGGCAACUGCUGAGCUCAGGACGUGGGGCGACAGGUCCGCCCAGAUCAGGGCAGGUGAGAAAGCACCGGAGAGAGACUUCAGGAGGAUGAAACUGACAGACCCCUGAUGCAUCUGAGUGUCUUGGGAGGAUGUUUAGACAACUAGUGAAAGGCCUGGAGUGGAAUGAGUGAUAAAUACGCAGAAAAUCAGACUAUCAAAUGAGACGAUGAUUAGCUUCAGGGAUAGCAAAAGUCUGAAGAGAAGGAAAAGGAGUCAUAAUUUACCACAUAUUUUAGCUAUAGAAAGUGUUUCCAUGGCUUAAUAACGUAGAGUGACUUGAUCUAACCAAAAUUACGUCCCAAUUCAGUAGAGAUGAAGCUGUGCGGGAAGCAGAGGUGGAGAGUGAGCUGUUUCCAUCUGCCACAGUGGGAACUCAGUGGAGAGGCUCACACUGAGAAAUUUGAACGUGGUCGUGCAAGCAUGUUCUCUAGCGAUGUAGAGGCCACCCCCAAAUAACUGGGGAAAUAACACGGGAGUGGCUACUUCAGGGCGGGAAACACGGGUGAGAGGGGGCAGGGGUGCCCUAUUGUGUUUUCACAACAGACCUUCUAGAGCUCUUUGACUCCUCAAUAGAUACAGUGCAUAAAACUGAAAGCAAAGGAGAGAAGAAAGGGGCAUAGCCGACUUCCAUCUUUGCUCUAAUCAGCGAUGGCCUUCUACGUGGAAAGCACUGGGGCGGCACUGACGGGCAGGUUGACUGGAACCUACUUUUGGAGGCUGAGUUGCCAAAACACGGGCUUCCUGGAGGCAGCCACCAGCUCAGAGGCCCAGAACAACGAGAAUCCAGAAGGCUCUUGAGUGGGGCCCUUGACCGUGAUGAGCAUGGGAGGGGAGUGGUCCGCCCCCGUGGAGAGCAGUGGACCACUUCAGCGGGGCUUCAAGGUGGAAGGCGCUCACCACACAUCCAAUGCAGUUCCCAGCUCCACCCCACCCCUG